rnacentral:rRNA from 1 species
ACGAACGCUGGCGGCGUGCUUAACACACGCAAGUCGAACGGAAAGGCCCUGCUUUUGUGGGGUGCUCGAGUGGCGAACGGGUGAGUAACACGUGAGUAACCUGCCCUUGACUUUGGGAUAACUUCAGGAAACUGGGGCUAAUACCGGAUAGGAGCUCCUGCUGCAUGGUGGGGGUUGGAAAGUUUCGGCGGUUGGGGAUGGACUCGCGGCUUAUCAGCUUGUUGGUGGGGUAGUGGCUUACCAAGGCUUUGACGGGUAGCCGGCCUGAGAGGGUGACCGGCCACAUUGGGACUGAGAUACGGCCCAGACUCCUACGGGAGGCAGCAGUGGGGAAUAUUGCACAAUGGGCGGAAGCCUGAUGCAGCAACGCCGCGUGCGGGAUGACGGCCUUCGGGUUGUAAACCGCUUUCGCCUGUGACGAAGCGUGAGUGACGGUAAUGGGUAAAGAAGCACCGGCUAACUACGUG